UCACGACAGCGGUCUUGAUUGUCCAAUCGGUAUUGAGGCCAGAUCUGUAUACGGAGCUGUUCUAAGCGGUUAGCUUUGAGUUCAGUGAGUAAGAGCAGUUUGAGAUUUUUAAGAACACAGGACAGGGGGGAAUCUUUGGGGACGGACUGGCCAGAUCCAUAAUUGAAAGGCAAGCAGAGGCUCCUGUUGGGAGUUCGAGUCGUCACCUGUAGUCACAAUAGGAGUUAUGAGAAGAGAGCUCUGUGUCGAGGUGGAACGUCCCCCACCGUCGCUUACAGAGAGACCUUAGGCCGGGGUCCCUGGGACCCGGAGAUGAUUUGGUUCUAAGGCGCCUCUACAACACCGUCCGGAUCUUACCUUAAUCUAGAGGCCGGCUUGAGUGGAGUGUUGCAUGUAGAGCGGUCGAAUGGCAAGUUCCCUGUACCAGAGGUCAUCAGAGAGAGAGAGGGGGUAGAGCCGAGGCCUGGGGGUACAGAAAGCACCAAUGAAAGCCUUAGGACAAGGCUUGCACCGCUCACAAAGGCACUCGGCGUCCCCAAGGGGAACUUAUGAGCCCUGGCAGAAAGGGAACUCGGCAGGUGUCCACGCUCCCAGAUUCAGGGAGAAGGGAAAACAGUGAGAGGGAGAGGGAGACAAGUGCCUCGCCCUCUCCCGGUUUCUGCACCAAGAAUGUACGGUAUAGUUCCGGCCGAGGCAGAAAAGGAGAGACAACCUCAACGGAGGCAGGUUACCUUUAUUCAGGCCCAAGCAACCAGGCUAUUAGUCUACUAAAUUCUGAGGUCUCGAUGAUGAGAAAAGCCAUCUUACAAUAUUGUAUGGCCCGUGAUAUCCUUAGAGCAUCUAAAGGGGUUAUCCUCAUUUGAUGGUUAUCCUCAUUCGACCUGUUCACAGCCAGGACACUGAGAGCUGAAAGAAGCAGGGGAAUUCUGACCUCCUGGUCUCACACCACAAUAAGGGAACAUCUUAUAAAUAAGAUCAACGUGGAUACCCAGGCUUCCAAACACUUAGGAAUUCUGUAUGACUUUAGCUGUUGUCUCUCCAGCUCUCAUCUCAUUUUGUAACCCUCCCCUUGACGUGUCUGGACUUCUUGAGGAAAGUCAUAUCAAGAUAACAGUGGUUAAUUACUAUUUGUAUCACAAGCUUUAUGCAUUCCCUGAAAUCCAAAAGAAAAGGAAUUGUAAUAAUUGACCUGAGAAUUAUAGCAUAAGGGGAAAAAUGGCAUAAAGUCACAGAAUCAAGAAGGUUUUGCUCUGAGAGCAAAAUGUUUUAUAGGGCAACAAUGCUGGGCUAAGUGUCGAAGUAUAUUACUCAUAGUGCAGAAGAAAUGUUUGAAAUAAGACAGGAUAAGACUUUAAGAUAAACUAUUUUGGAAUUGUGUUUACAGAAAUGAAAUAAUGUUAUUUAUUUACUAUUUAUUUAUUUUGGCUGUGCUGGGUCUUCAUUGCUGUGCAGGCUUUAUUCUAGUUGCAGGGAGCAAGGGCCUCUCUCUAGUUGUGCUCAGGCUUCUCAUUACAGUGGUUUCUCUUGUUGUGGGGCACAGGCUCCAGGGUGUGCGAGCUUCAGUAGUUACGACGCGUGGGCUCAGUAGUUGCAGUUCCCAGGCUCUAGUUGCUCCUCUGCAAGGUGGGAUCGAACCCGUGUCUCCUUCAUUGGCAGGUGGAUUCUUAGCACUGAGCCACCAAGGGAAGCCCCUGAUACUUCAGUGUUAAUUGUCUCAGCAACACCUAACCAACAGAGCUCUUCCAAGUGUUAGCAUUUGAAAUCACAGAGUGAAACGCAUAAAUCACCAAAUAUUAAUCUAAAAUCUACUAUGCUCCACUGGCAGACAUUUCUGACAAAAUUGUGGGGGGGAGGUGGUAAGAGAAGAGAGAAAGUGGAGGCUUCUAUGGCGAGUGUUUAAUGGGCAGGGCCUAGGGAAAACUAUAUAUCACUUCCACCCACAUUUCAUGGCCCAAACUCAGGCAUAAACCUCACUUAGCUAUGAUUUUACUACGAGGAAACCUGGAUAAUACGGUCUACACAUCUGUGCAGAGGGAAAGGACAGGGUUUGGUGAAUUCCUCUCCAUCUCAUCCAGUAGAACACAUGCUACACACUCAGUAACUAUUGAAUGUCUGAAGUUUCAGAACCAAGUGCUACGGCUGGAAUUUCAGCUUCCUCCGCUCUCCCACUCUCUCUCCUACAUGCCCCACCCCGCUUUGCUUCUCCAUUUUCCUGCCUGUAAUGACUGAAGGCGGGAGGGAAAGGGGACGACAGAGGGUGAGAUGGCUGGCUGGCAUCACCAACUCAAUGCACAUGAGUCUGAGUAGCCUCCAGGACUUGGUGAUGGACAGGGAGGCCUGGCAUGCUGCAGUCCAUGGGGUUGUAACGAGUCAGACACGACUGAAUGACUGAACUGAACUGAUACCACUCGUGUUUAAACAAUUAGAGCAAAGAGCCCAAUGACAAACUUCUCUCUCUUUUUUUUUUUCUCUUUUAUUUUUAAUUUGCUUAUUUUUGGCUGCUCUCAGUCUUUGUUGCUGCCCUCAGGCUUUUUCUAGUUGCAGCUAGCGGAGGCUGCUGUCUAGUGUGGCACAGACUUCUCAUUGCUGUGGCUUCUCUUACUGUGGAGCACGGGCUUUAGAGGAAGGACUCAGGAGUUGUGGCGCACAGACUUAGUUGCCCUGGGACAACUAAGUGGAGUCUUCUACAUGGAAGAUUCUAUUUGGAAUCUUCCCAAACCAGGAAUGAAAGCUGUGUCCCUUGCAUUGGCAGUCAGAUUCUUAACCACUAGACUACCAAGGAAACCCUCAAUGACAAACUUCUGCAUCAGGAAAACCAAUUAGACAAAACUAUAGACUGUGUGUGUGUGUGUGUGUGAUUCUUUGCAACCCUAUGGACAGUAGCCCGCCAAUCUCCUCCAUCCAUGGAAUUUUCCAGACAACAAUACUGGAGUGCGUUGCCAUUUCUUCCCUAUCCAAAGAUGGAACUUGCGUCUCUUGUGUUUCCCACAUUGGCAGGAAGUUUCUUUAACACUGUGCCACCUGGGAAGUCCUGUAGAGUUGGGUGCUAAUUCUGUAAUGAAGGCAAGAUACGGAAGGUAGAGUAGGCUGCAGUCUGAGCUCUGCAAAGGGCUUGUGUAAGGAGGCAGGGAGGAAGCAAAAGGCCUGGUGCGCAAAGCUGGAGGGUGAGAAAAACACAUUCAACUGAGGUCUUCUCUGUCUUGAAAGAAGUGAAGUCUAGUUUUGGAUUCCUAUUUUCAUCGUCAAACUAGAGUAGAUUUAAACUAGGAUGAACAUUUGUCAAUCUGGAGGAUAUAAAACUAGCUUUGUGAGUGAUUUUGGGAGGAAAACAGUCCUUAUGUGUUAGUUUCAUGGGUAGGGGAGUGAAGUCUGAGGUCAAGACAGUGGAGGCUGGACUCUCACUUCUGUGUCUGUGGAGCGUGUCUCUCCCUUGGCCACUCACACCUGGCCACUCACACCGUCUGAGACCGCGUUCUGUCUAUGAAAUGUCUAUUUUCUCUAAAUAA
ensembl:lncRNA